GUGACCAGUCCAGAGGUGAACCCCGUCUAUUCGCCUGAAAGUUGGCUGGGAUGGACUCCAGCCCCCCCGUGACCCUGUGUGCCGGAUAAGCAGUUUGCAGAUGGAUGGAUGGUGUCUACUCCGGGAUGUAAAUGCGACCCUGGUUGCAUAUGCACCCACAGGGCGACUCUGAGAGCUACUGAUGGAUCCCUUGUUUAGCAGCAAACUUCAGGAGGGUCAUUCAAACGGCAACUGGGACCAAAACAGGGGGGGCUGGGUUUUUGACUCCCCCCCCCAACAGACACUUUUCCUCUGUGCCCGGCGAGAGUUAGUUGAUAGAUUGUGUGCAUGUGGUGAAUAGAAGCCACACCUGCCUGCUGGCAGCCCCACACGGUGGAGACACACUUAUGCGACACUUGUUUGAUGCUGGACUACCUUUCGGUCAGGAAGAUGUCGAGUUUUUUUAGCAGUUUUCAAAAAGGUUUUUUAACAGAACAAAACUUCAUUUUGUGAUAAACUAGAAAUAUUGUGUGUUCAGAAUGUCGUCCAUUGCAUUGAAGGCGGGGAAAUGUGCACGGCUGAUAUCUGGAGUACCCUCACAGCGUAACUCUGCUCUCCGCCUCCUCACACCAGCGGAACAAAUCUUUUCUUCCCUCUGAGCAGCACUUUGAUUGUCUCUGUGUCGUCCCGAGGCCUCGGCUAUUGUCACAGACACAUCAUGGACGUUAAGUGCUACAUGGGCCUUUGGUGACCUCGUCGUCCGAGGGGAUCCGGUAAAGGCCUCUCGAACUCUCCUCCCUCCCGUUAUGGACAACUCGUGUUUACCUAGUGGGGGCCGCCCGACAGGAUUCAACCAUCCUCCCACUUUCCAUGUCGGACAAAGUCCUCUCCUGGGAAGCCAAGUUGUUGGACACGGAGGCCUUUGUCGACGUUGCGCGCUGUAGACAAAAGGGGCCUCUCCUCCACUGACAAGAUAACGCCACGGCAGCUAUUGUAAAGUCACACUAUUGUGUAGUCCAAUUCUCUGCCGGGUUCGCGGAGGCCCACACAGUACAGUAGACAGGCAGAGACACACUGCGGCGCAGACGCACACAAAGGCGAGACAGAAAUGUGACAGAAUUGGACGCUUCUACUGUUCUGAAGACGCCACUCGCAGGGAACGAGGACGGGGGACCGAGGGGGAACAAAAGAGGAGCGUUUUCAAAAAAACCCACUUCUGAACGCCCAGAUCAAAGGCAGCCGAGGAGAGAGAGAAGGAGACAAAAAUAAAAGCAUAAACAGAGUAAACAAGCCGAGAUGGAGUGAGCGGCUGAGCCGGGCGGCGGGGGCGGCGGGGGGGGGUGGUGGUGUCACAGCAUCUUAACCACGUCCACAAGGUGCGGCGUUCCCUGUGCACAGACAGGCCAGGUUAUCACACGGCACCAUUGACUCUCCUCUCGGUGUCAUGGAAGGCCGGCAGGUGUUUGUGCGGCGGAACGAGGCAGCUGCAGCAGAGUGAGGAGAUAACAAGCGGGAAAACAAGCACUGCUCCUCCACCUCCUCCACCUCCUUUUCUUCUCUUUCGCUUCAAGACGGGGUUUUCUCAGGGGGGGGGUUUCUCUCUUGCCUCUCUUUUUCUCUCAGCAGAGUGUCACCAUGAGGCCGUCUGAGAACAGCGACACCCGCCCCGGUGCCACAUGCGCCCCGGUUGAGAGGGAGGGGGCCGCUGACAUUUUGCGGACCGACAAACUGGAGGCAGCAGCGCGAGUUGUGCACCAGGUUUUUCCCUGACCUUUCAUCGCCCCGCGUGGUUAUGACUGUUAGCUCUGUGCUCACGUGUAAACCUUUUUCGGUUUGGCCGUGUGCCAACGCUCACCUUUAAUUUAUCCUAUCUGUAAUAAUAUAUAACAGGCCAACGGUACAAUGGUGUUCCUUCCCUUCCACUGUAUGGAGAUCAUGGGCAGAUGUUUAAUAAAUGCUUGAAGUCUUUGAAUGAUUUUUUAAUGUCCCAGUUCCACACACACAGAGACAUAACGGAGUGGAACCGGGAGGUGGACAUUGUCUGAAAACUGUACGACACGUGGCUCUUGUGUGAUGUGAAGCGACAUCUUCUGUACUCUGCUACUGUUUCAGAGGAGAAAAGUGGUUAGAAGUUUUAGGCUGGUCGGGCCAAACGCAUUACAGAUACAGUAAAACAUCUGCUUGGUGGGAUCAUCGGAACAGAACCUUCAUAAUAACACCUCAUGUAAAGAAUGUCUUUAGCAAAUAAACAUGGGCUAUUAUAUCUUUACACACAGUUUCUUUGAGAAAAAGCAGAGGAUGGUUUAUGACUUACUCAGUUUUUAUUAGCUUCAUGUCUGUUGAAGUCAAAUUUAUUUUAAAAUCAAAACAGUAAAUUAUUUGACAAUUUAAUACUUUUAAAUAUUCUGACAGUUAGUGUAUGUUUUAGCACUAUUUAUUUAGCUUAUUUUUUAUAUAUAUGAUAACUCAUUUUUGGUCAGCCUUGUUUAUUAUCACAAUGUUGCGUUUUUAAUUAUAUCUUCAAGCAAGCAAUAGCUCAUUUUGCUUUAGCUAACGGUAGUGAUGGUUAUAUCUCCGGCUAUCUUCACCUGGAUUUGGUCUGCUAAAUCAUUUGAGGCCAGGGGCUUACAGGUACAUUGUUUUUUACAUCAUUUAUUUUAUUUAAUUUUCAAACAAGAACAAAAUGUCACACAAACAUUCCCACUCCCACUUCUGUUACGAAAAAACAGAUUUCCCGUGGAGGGCCGAUGAGGUGAGAUGAAAACCAUUUGUGUUCAGACUGCUGCUUCUUCCUUCUGUCGAUGUGCUCCGUCCUCACCCGUAGAUUUACACUCACGUUUCACUGUUGAUCAUCAAGGGAUAAUAAAUACAGCCGACAAAUAACCAGAUGUUAGAAACAGUCAAUUCAAUUCAGCCAUUUAAAAAUAAAACAUGAGCUUUUGCAGCAAUGGCAGCAAAACACGUUGUCUCAUCAGACUUUAGAUUCCCAUGAGCCCCAAACAGAAAACAAUCAGCAAUAUGCCGACAGUGGCUGCAGGUUUUUUUUGGGGGGGUGGGGGGUGUUGAUCUAAGAGCAGAAACUCUUGUGAGACAGAAACGUGUUAUAACGCACACGCAUUGCUGCAGCAUCUGACUGCACGGCAGAUUAACAACUGUUCUCGUUGCUGCAGCACAACACACAGCGUUGUUACUCACCGUUUAAGGACAAUAAAAAGCCACUCUGCUCGUGUUUUUCACAUUUCUUCCUCUGGUUUGUCCCAUUUUUCUUAAAGCAAAGUCCAAUUGUUCUAUCUCCUCACCACUGAGAGAGAAAGAUCCUACAUGCCACGACGCCUUAACACAAACUGUCACAGACAAUGGAAGCAGCAAUCAAAUAUUUCACAGAAAACCAAAUACGCACAUAUGUCGGCAGCAAUUUAGCGAGACAUAUAUUAAGAGCGAGCAAUCCGAGAAAGGAGGGGAAGAGAGA